GAUGAAGAACGCAGCAAAAUGCGAUAAGUAAUGUGAAUUGCAGAAUUCAGUGAAUCAUCGAAUCUUUGAACGCACAUUGCGCCCGCUGGUAUUCCGGCGGGCAUGCCUGUUCGAGCGUCAUUUCAACCCUCAAACCCCCCGGGUUUGGUGUUGGGGAUCGGCUCUGCCUCACGGCGGUGCCGCCCCCGAAAUACAUUGGCGGUCUCGCUGCAGCCUCCAUUGCGUAGUAGCUAACACCUCGCAACUGGAACGCGGCGCGGCCAUGCCGUAAAACCCCAACUUCUGAAUGUUGACCUCGGAUCAGGUAGGAAUACCCGCUGAACUUAAGCAUAUCAAUAAGCGGAGGA
rnacentral:misc_RNA from 1 species